rnacentral:rRNA from 1 species
UACGUAGGGUGCGAGCGUUGUCCGGAAUUACUGGGCGUAAAGAGCUCGUAGGUGGUUUGUCGCGUUGUCCGUGAAAACUCACAGCUCAACUGUGGGCGUGCGGGCGAUACGGGCAGACUGGAGUACUGCAGGGGAGACUGGAAUUCCUGGUGUAGCGGUGGAAUGCGCAGAUAUCAGGAGGAACACCGGUGGCGAAGGCGGGUCUCUGGGCAGUAACUGACGCUGAGGCACGAAGGUCAGGGGAGCAAACGGG